rnacentral:lncRNA from 14 species
AUUUGCCAAGAGUUGAUUCAACAGUGAAGAUAGACUAAUGGAAUGUCCACUGUGGUCACUGAAGGAUUCCACAUGACAGCUACGACAAGUCCUACCUGUUCUCAAUAGAGCAGAGACUUCCGUAACUGUCAACAAAGAG